ACAGAACCUGGGACUUCAAAAAACGAAUGGUAACCGGUUACAUGAAUAGGGUAACCGUCACAUGCUGGAAAAUUUCAAAAAUACUGAAACUGGACAAAAUGUAGAAAAAUAAUAAAAAAAAAAUUGUACACAAAAAAUAAUAUAUAAAUUAUGUAUGCAUGUCAUAAUAAAAUUAAUAAAGGAAUACGAAAUGAUUUUAC
rnacentral:lncRNA from 1 species